rnacentral:misc_RNA from 1 species
CACUAGCCCAGAUUGAAGUGAAAAUGAGACAGUAAAAAAAUAAUAUUGUUUUCUUGCCGGAAAGAGCGACCGUAGGAAGCUCCUUUCAGGCAAUUGAAAACAAAUUAUUUUUUGCUGUCGCAUUGUAACGGAAAGCGGGAAAUAGC